AUGAACCCUGGCGGCAGGNUUUAACACAUGUCAANCCCGAGCGGCAUGAGUGGAGCUUGCUUCAUGAUUCAUCGGCGGACGGGUGAGUAAUGCCUAGGAAUCUGCCUGGUAGUGGGGGACAACGUUUCGAAAGGAACGCUAAUACCGCAUACGUCCUACGGGAGAAAGUGGGGGAUCUUCGGACCUCACGCUAUCAGAUGAGCCUAGGUCGGAUUAGCUAGUUGGUGAGGUAAAUNNUNACCAAGGCGACNAUCCGUAACUGGUCUGAGAGGAUGAUCAGUCACACUGGAACUGAGACACGGUCCAGACUCCUACGGGAGGCAGCAGUGGGGAAUAUUGGACAAUGGGCGAAAGCCUGAUCCAGCCAUGCCGCGUGUGUGAAGAAGGUCUUCGGAUUGUAAAGCACUUUAAGUUGGGAGGAAGGGCAGUAAGUUAAUACCUUGCUGUUUUGACGUUACCGACAGAAUAAGCACCGGCUAACUUCGUGCCAGCAGCCGCGGUAAUACGAAGGGUGCAAGCGUUAAUCGGAAUUACUGGGCGUAAAGCGCGCGUAGGUGGUUCGUUAAGUUGGAUGUGAAAGCCCCGGGCUCAACCUGGGAACUGCAUCCAAAACUGGCGAGCUAGAGUAUGGCAGAAGGGUGGUGGGAAUUUCCUGUGUNACCGGUGAAAUGCGU
rnacentral:rRNA from 1 species